rnacentral:rRNA from 1 species
ACGUAAUAGAUACCCGGGUAGUCCACGCCCUAAACGAUGUCUACUAGUUGUUGGUGGAGUAAAAUCCAUGAGUAAACGCAGCUAAACGCGUGAAGUAGACCGCCUGGGGAGUACGGUCGCAAGAUUAAAACUCAAAGGAAUUGACGGGGGCCCGCACAAGCGGUGGAUUAUGUGGAUUAAUUCGAUGCAACGCGAAAAACCUUACCUGGCCUUGACAUGCCACUAACGAAGCAGAGAUGCAUUAGGUGCCCGUAAGGGAAAGUGGACACAGGUGCUGCAUGGUUGUCGUCAGCUCGUGUCGUGAGAUGUUGGGUUAAGUCCCGCAACGAGCGCAACCCUUGCCAUUAAUUGCCAUCAUUUAGUUGGGCACUUUAAUGGGACUGCCGGUGACAAACCGGAGGAAGGUGGGGAUGACGUCAAGUCCUCAUGGCCCUUAUGGCCAGGGCUUCACACGUAAUACAAUGGUCGGUACAGAGAGUUGCCAACCCGCGAGGGGAGCUAAUCUCAGAAAGCCGAUCGUAGUCCGGAUUGUUCUCUGC